UGCCUGCCCAGUGAAUAUUAAACGGCCGCGGUAUUUUGACCGUGCAAAGGUAGCGCAAUCACUUGCCCCCUAAUUAGGGGCCUGUAUGAAUGGCUAGACGAAGGCCCAACUGUCUCCCUUUUCAAAUCAGUUAAAUUGAUCUAUCUGUGCAGAAGCAGGUAUCCACCUACAAGACGAGAAGACCCUUUGGAGCUUAAGAUUAAAGUCAAUUACAUCAAUAAGUUAUACUUAAACUAAGUAAUACUGACCCGCAUCUUCGGUUGGGGCGACCGCGGGGGAAAACCAAGCCCCCAUGAAGAAAGAUAAACCCUUCUAAACCCAGAAAGACAUUUCUAAGUCACAGAACAUCUGACUAAAAGAUCCGUUUUUAUACGACCAACGAACCAAGUUACCCAAGGGAUAACAGCGCAAUCCCCUUCCAGAGUCCCUAUCGACAAGGGGGUUUACGACCUCGAUGUUGGAUCAGGACAUCCUAAUGGUGUAGCCGCUAUUAA
rnacentral:rRNA from 1 species